UACGUAGGGCGCAAGCGUUGUCCGGAAUUAUUGGGCGUAAAGAGCUCGUAGGCGGUCUGUCGCGUCUGCCGUGAAAACCCGAGGCUUAACCUCGGGCUGGCGGUGGAUACGGGCAGACUAGAGGUAGGUAGGGGAGAAUGGAAUUCUCGGUGUAGCAGUGAAAUGCGUAGAUAUCGAGAGGAACACCAGUGGCGAAGGCGAGUCCCUGGACAACACCUGACACUGAGGCACGAAAGCUAGGGGAGCAAACAGG
rnacentral:rRNA from 1 species